AGAGUUUGAUCCUGGCUCAGGACGAACGCUGGCGGCGUGCUUAACACAUGCAAGUCGAACGGAAAGGCCCUUCGGGGUACUCGAGUGGCGAACGGGUGAGUAACACGUGGGUGAUCUGCCCUGCACUUUGGGAUAAGCCUGGGAAACUGGGUCUAAUACCGAAUAGGACCACGCGCUUCAUGGUGUGUGGUGGAAAGCUUUUGCGGUGUGGGAUGGGCCCGCGGCCUAUCAGCUUGUUGGUGGGGUAAUGGCCUACCAAGGCGACGACGGGUAGCCGGCCUGAGAGGGUGACCGGCCACACUGGGACUGAGAUACGGCCCAGACUCCUACGGGAGGCAGUAGUGGGGAAUAUUGCACAAUGGGCGCAAGCCUGAUGCAGCGACGCCGCGUGAGGGAUGACGGCCUUCGGGUUGUAAACCUCUUUCAAUAGGGACGAAGCGCAAGUGACGGUACCUAUAGAAGAAGCACCGGCCAACUACGUGCCAGCAGCCGCGGUAAUACGUAGGGUGCGAGCGUUGUCCGGAAUUACUGGGCGUAAAGAGCUCGUAGGUGGUUUGUCGCGUUGUUCGUGAAAACUCACAGCUUAACUGUGGGCGUGCGGGCGAUACGGGCAGACUAGAGUACUGCAGGGGAGACUGGAAUUCCUGGUGUAGCGGUGGAAUGCGCAGAUAUCAGGAGGAACACCGGUGGCGAAGGCGGGUCUCUGGGCAGUAACUGACGCUGAGGAGCGAAAGCGUGGGGAGCGAACAGGAUUAGAUACCCUGGUAGUCCAA
rnacentral:rRNA from 1 species